rnacentral:rRNA from 1 species
GACGAACGCUGGCGGCGUGCCUAAUACAUGCAAGUUGAGCGCUGAAGGUUGGUACUUGUACCAACUGGAUGAGCAGCGAACGGGUGAGUAACGCGUGGGGAAUCUGCCUUUGAGCGGGGGACAACAUUUGGAAACGAAUGCUAAUACCGCAUAAAAACUUUAAACACAAGUUUUAAGUUUGAAAGAUGCAAUUGCAUCACUCAAAGAUGAUCCCGCGUUGUAUUAGCUAGUUGGUGAGGUAAAGGCUCACCAAGGCGAUGAUACAUAGCCGACCUGAGAGGGGUGUCGGCCAAAUUGGGACUGGGACACGGCCCAAACUCCUACGGGGGGCAGCAGUAGGGGAUCUUCGGCAAUGGACGGAAGUCUGACCGAGCAACGCCGCGUGAGUGAAGGAGGUUUUCGGAUCGUAAAACUCUGUUGGUAGGGAAGAACGUUGGUGAGAGUGGAAAGCUCAUCAAGUGACGGUAACUACCCAGAAAGGGACGGCUAACUACGUG